CUUUUAAUGCAAUGACAAUUGCAAUAAAAGCCCAAAUUGGACAAGGAUUCGCAGACAAGACCAAAAGGCCAAUUUUCAUGGAAACCCCAACUUAAAUGCAGGCCCACUAAUAGAGGCUCCUCUCUCUGCAUGGUAAAACCCUAGCCCCAUUCCUACACAGCUCAAGGAAAACUCAGCGCCACUCAUUGAAAACCAAAGGACCAAAGAAACGUUGAAGAUCAAGAAAGAAAAAAGCUUCCUCAAAGCCAUGCUUAGCUAGAAAACCNNNNNGUCAAGACGGAAGCUGGAAAAACUCCAUAAAUAACCCAUCGCCUCUCGAGGGAAAUAUUGGCCUCUGGAACCAUUAACUUGGGAAAGAAGAAAGACAUAGGGCAUGGC
rnacentral:misc_RNA from 1 species